rnacentral:piRNA from 1 species
UAGGCUUUGAUCCUUGGACCAGCUUCAUC